rnacentral:lncRNA from 10 species
GUGGGAGGGACGAGAUCUUCCUAGAGUCUUCCGGUUGCGGGGGGUGGGUGGUGGGAAGCAAAACGUCCAGUCUGGAGGCCAAGAGGAAGAGACUAGAUGCAGAGCUUUCUGCUGGUGAUUCACCACCUGUGCACAGCCCAGCUCUCAAGAGUCCUGGAUCCUCCUAGGUCCUCCGACAGAGGAAUCUGCGUAUGUGGUAAGAUCACAUGAGCACAUCUGCGUGAACACUUGCAGCCAGUGAAGUGUGGCCGACGACGAAGAAGACAACCUGCCUCCUUCACGCAGACCGAAUGGCAACGGCAUCCCCUGGGGGAGCCCCAGAGGAGCCGACGAACCUGCCGUCUGCACUCUUGCUUGUGCUGUUUGCCUUUCGAAAGGGCUCGCUGCAUCGCGGCCAGUGCAUCUUCUCCUCCCAAGGCCAUGCUUGAUGGCUGAGGUCCCGUCCCAGAUACAGACCCUGUUGCCCAUGGGUUUCUUUCUCUCUGUCGCUACCCUUUCUGGGGCCCCCUCCACUUCUCCAGCCCCACCCACCUCCAUGCCCAUUUCCAGGAAGGGUAGGACAGAGGGCAGCAUCAGCAAGCAUCUCUUCAUUUGUGAAGCUUACACAUCCUGGGUGCUUGGAAAAAGACCUGGUUCGUGUCUCUCUCCUCUCUAAUCAAUUCACAAUCAAUAAAUAUUUACUGAACACCUCCAAAGCACUUAGCACUGAGCAGGUCCUACAGGGAUACAGGCCAAUAAAGGCACAGUAACAUUUAGCUUUAAGCCCCUAUGCUUUACUUGAGCAGAACAAUCCAUUGGCAAGACAAGGCAGGUGCUUGUGUGAUGUGAAAUAUACAAGCUAGACUUAACAAGUCCCUCUCUGGGCUCCCAUAGCUAACAGUGUUCUACAAUAAUAGUGAAUAGCAUUGAUUGAGGCUAUGUGGCAGACACUGCUCUCAAGUGUCAACUAAGUGCCAAAACAGACAGGAACCAUUAUUAUCCUCAUUUUUUCAAAUAAGAAAACUGAGGCACAGCCUGAGGUCACAUAGCUGAUAAGAAGUAGACAUAGCAUGGAUCAUUCACCCAAGGUGGUGUGACUUCAGAGCCUGCCUGCCCUAGCCCUGGUAUCAUUCUGCACAAUAUUAUGGACACUGGUCUUGAUGCAUGGCUGUUUUCUCCUUAAGAGAAAGGACUAUCCCUUGUUUAUUGCCACAUAUCCCUAUAGUGUUGAGAACACACACAAAAAAGUGUUAUUCGAUAAUUGUUUAUCAAGUUGACCUAGCGAGGAGCAUGAAGGAACAGCCACAGUGAAGAACAGAAAAGUGAAUCAUGAUUGGGUGAAUAAAAGGAUUUCAGAGUAGAAAAAAGGUCUGGUGGAAACUGGAUGUCAUCCGUAUGCAGAGGCCCUAGUCGGCCUGGCACUGAGCCACCCGUCCUCCCACCAGCUCUGCGCACAGGGCCCAAGCUGACGAGUAGGAAGGAAAGACUCACAGGGACACAGCUGUAGGUUAGGGCAGGGAGGGAGACAGGGAAGGUGCAAGAGGGAAGCAAGGCUAACGGCACAGCCUCUCCACUUAGUCCCCAGAGUGAUAGAACAGCAGCUAUGGGAGCAGCCAGGACUUAGAGGCAGUCAGACAGCAAUUUACCAAACGCUGUCAUUUGGGCCUAUAAAAGUUAAAGGAAAAAAAAAAAAAAACAGAAAAAAGCAAGUGUUGGUGAGGAAGUGGAAAGACAGAAUCCCUGGGCAUUGUUGGUGGGAAUGUGAAAUGGUGCAGCCACUGUAGAAAACAGUGUCACGGUUCCUCAGAAAAAUUAAAUCUGUAAUUAUAUGUGACUCAGCAAUUCCACUGCUGGGUAUAUGUCCAAAAUAAUUAAAAACAGGGACUUGAAUAGAUGUUUAUACACCCAUGUUCAUAGCAGCAUUAUUCAUAACAACCAAAAAGUGGAAACAGCCCAAAAGUCCAUCAACAGAUAAACAAAUAGGCAAAAUGUGGUAUAUACAGACAGGGGGAUAUUACUCAGCCUUGAAAGGAAGGAAAUUCUGACACAUGUGCAAUAUUCAUGAAGCCUUAAAGACACUGUGCUAAGUGAAAUAGGCCAGACACAAAAGGACAAACACUAUAUGACUCCAUUGACAUGAGGUUCCCGGAGUGGUGAAAUUCAUAGACACAGAAAGUAGAAUGGUGGUCACCAGGAGCUGGGGGAGAGGAAAUGAGCAGUUAUUAUUGAACAGACUCAGAGUUGUCAUUUGGGAAGAUGGAAAAGUUCUGGAGAUGAUGGUAGUGAUGGUUGCACAACAAUGUGAAUGUACUUAAUGCCACUGAACUGUACACUUAAAAACAGGAUGGUAAAUUUUAUGUUGUGCACACUUUAACACAAUUAAAAAAAG